rnacentral:rRNA from 1 species
UGGGGAAUAUUGGACAAUGGGGGCAACCCUGAUCCAGCGAUGCCGCGUGGGUGAAGAAGGCCUUCGGGUUGUAAAGCCCUUUAGGUUAGGACGAAGUGUAUUGGAGGAAAUGCUAAUACAUUGACGGUACUAACAGAAUAAGCACCGGCAAACUCUGUGCCAGCAGCCGCGGUAAUACAGAGGGUGCGAGCGUUAAUCGGAGUUACUGGGCGUAAAGGGCGCGUAGGCGGUAGUAUGUGAAUGAUGUGAAAGCCCUGGGCUUAACCUAGGAAGUGCAUCGUUGACUAUAUUACUGGAGUACAGGAGAGGGUGGCGGAAUUUCCGGUGUAGCGGUGAAAUGCGUAGAGAUCGGAAGGAACGUCGAUGGCGAAGGCAGCCACCUGGCCUGAUACUGACGCUGAGGCGCGAAAGCGUGGGGAGCGAACAG